GCCUGACUGGCUCAGUUGGAAGAGCAUGUGACUCUUGAUCUCAGGGUUGUGAGUUUGAGGCCCACGUUGGGGG
rnacentral:tRNA from 1 species